UUUGCCAUGGGGGCAACCCUGAUCCAGCAAUACCGCGUGUGUGAAGAAGGCCCGAGGGUUGUAGAGCACUUUCAAUUGUGAAGAAAAGCUCAAGGUUAAUAGCCUUGGGUCUUGACGUUAACUUUAGAAGAAGCACCGGCUAACUCCGUGCCAGCAGCCGCGGUAAUACGGAGGGUGCAAGCGUUAAUCGGAAUUACUGGGCGUAAAGCGCGCGUAGGCGGUUUAGUCAGUCAGAUGUGAAAGCCCCGGGCUCAACCUGGGAACUGCAUUUGAUACUGCUAGGCUAGAGUAUGGUAGAGGCAAGUGGAAUUCCAGGUGUAGCGGUGAAAUGCGUAGAUAUCUGGAGGAACAUCAGUGGCGAAGGCGACUUGCUGGACCAAUACUGACGCUGAGGUGCGAAAGCGUGGGUAGCAAACAGGAUUAGAUACCCUGGUAGUCCACGCUGUAAACGAUGUCAACUAGCCGUUGAGACCAUUUAAGGUUUUAGUGGCGCAGCUAACGCNGAUAAGNUGACCGCCUNNGGAGNCGGCGGNAAG
rnacentral:rRNA from 1 species